rnacentral:rRNA from 1 species
CCUACGGGUGGCAGCAGUGAGGAAUAUUGGUCAAUGGGCGGGAGCCUGAACCAGCCAAGCCGCGUGAAGGAAGAAGGCGCCAAGCGUUGUAAACUUCUUUUGUCGGGGAACAAAGGGCGCCACGUGUGGCGCAUUGAGUGUACCCGAAGAAAAAGCAUCGGCUAACUCCGUGCCAGCAGCCGCGGUAAUACGGAGGAUGCGAGCGUUAUCCGGAUUUAUUGGGUUUAAAGGGUGCGUAGGCGGAGGGGCAAGUCAGCGGUAAAAGUGCGGGGCGCAACCCCGGACUGCCGUUGAAACUGCAGCACGUGAGUGCGCGAGAAGUAUGCGGAAUGCGCGGUGUAGCGGUGAAAUGCAUAGAUAUCACGCAGAACGCCGAUUGCGAAGGAAGCAUACCGGCGCGCAACUGACGCUCAGGCACGAAAGCGUGGGUAUCGAACAGGAUUAGAUACCCUGGUAGUC